rfam:Schistosoma rodhaini strain Burundi genome assembly, scaffold: SROB_scaffold0000256
AGCUUCCUGAAUCCGUGCACAGACUUCGUCAGGCACUAACCCAUUAUGGCUGAUGAGACUUCCAAGAUAAGUGAAGUU